rnacentral:rRNA from 1 species
GACGAACGCUGGCGGCGUGCCUAAUACAUGCAAGCCGAGCGCAGGAAACUGACGGAACUCUUCGGAGGGAAGGCAGUGGAAUGAGCGGCGGACGGGUGAGUAACACGUAAGGAACCUGCCUCAAGGAUUGGGAUAACUCCGAGAAAUCGGAGCUAAUACCGGAUAGUUCAACGGACCGCAUGGUCCGCUGAUGGAAGGCGCUCCGGCGUCACCUUGAGAUGGCCUUGCGGUGCAUUAGCUAGUUGGGGGGGUAACGGCCCACCAAGGCGACGAUGCAUAGCCGACCGGAGAGGGUGAUCGGCCACACUGGGAUUGAGACACGGCCCAGACUCCUACGGGAGGCAGCAGUAGGGAAUCUUCCACAAUGGACGAAAGUCUGAUGGAGCAACGCCGCGUGAGUGAUGAAGGUUUUCGGAUCGUAAAACUCUGUUGUAAGGGAAGAACACGUACGAGAGGAAAUGCUCGUACCUUGACGGUACCUUACGAGAAAGCCACGGCUAACUACGUGCCAGCCGCCGCCGUAA